UAGAAUAAAUGCAGUACACUCCAAGCAGCAGUGUAAAAAGAGGCCCCUUCCUCAGCUGGCAGAAAUAAAUUUAGUGAUGAGAUUGAUUCAUACCAGCUGUGGAUCAGGCCCACUGUCAGAGAAGAGUGGGAUCAAAAACAGGAGCCCAUUAGCAGGAUAGUUUUGCUGAAAUCAAGUUUUUGGAGUUACAUGGGAGCUGAAGCAACACUACUGUAUUCGUGCUUUCCACCUCAGCUUUGGGACACAUGACUUCUACUUGCACCUUGAGUUAUGACAGGGAGGCAGUGUCUUGAAGAUUCUAGAAACUCACUCCAGCGCAGCUUUGAAUUUGGGAUUAUAAGCUUGUUCUGCACUGUUCUGGAGAAAUAGGGAUGAAAGAAAAUCUUACUCUACAGUUUGUGCAUGUUUUAAUUAAGAUAUGUACAAACCCAGUAAUGUUUUAGUAUAUUAAGAAGAAAACAGAUUAAGACACAUCUGAAGUUAU